rnacentral:lncRNA from 1 species
AUCAUCCGCCCUCCUCCCGCGGAGCGCCGCAGCCGCCGCGGCCAAUCCGGCGGCAGGUGGGGCCGCACCUGCGGGACGGCCCGCCGCUUCCCUCCGCUCUCUUCGCCGCGCCUCGCGUGCUAGCGGUGCCCUUGAGAGCCACUGCGUUCUCCAAGGCCAGAACGGGACAGUUGACGAUGGUCGUACUUCUCCAUGUUCUGAGACCAGUUUAAACAAAAACAAAAACCAGACAACAACCUUGCAAGGGAAAGAAUUCAGAGUAAAUAAACAGUCUUUUUCUGGGAAGUAAAGUAUUUCCCUAAGAUGGAGAAAUUGAGAUGAGAGCUCAUCCACAAGAUUACCCAUCAAUGAGCACCAAUAGCAACCAAAUCCACUAGAAGACUGGGAGCUUUUAAGUCAAGACACUUACAUCAGUAUCAUCAUUCCAAGAAGCGGUAUCCAAGUUGUUUUAUCAAAAGUGUGCAUGGGAGAUAAGACUGAGAAUUUAUAGAAACAAACAUUAGAAGGCAGGAAUGUGGAGAGAAGAAAGCUACCUGACGAGGGAAUCUCAGGAUACAAGGAAAACACCAAGGAAUGUAAAUCUCUGUUUACCACGAGCCCUCUGUCUCCACAAGUUCUGUGUCCAGAACUGAAGGCAGAUCCAAAUACAAUAUUCGUGGGAUGCAAAUUCCCAUGUAUGCCAAAAGAUAACUGCUUUAUUGGAGGCCUAGUGGGGAACUGAAACUCCCACUCCUGCUUAGCAGGAAUUAGAAGCCCCCUUUCAGAGGUUCAACAGAAGCUGAGUUAAGAAACCUGAACUUUUACCCUACCUGGCAGUAAUGAAGCGACACCCACCUUCCUCUGUGAGGAUGGUGUGAAAUGAAGCUAGCUAAAACAAAAGGUUUAAAUAAGAUUCAGAGUCUCAUAAUAUUGAAAUGUCCAUAUUUCAGUGGAAAAUUACUCAUCAUACAAAAAC